UGUUUAUUGUGUGUGUUGAGGUGUUAUGCCAUGUUCGUCCAAUUGCAUGAACUUUCGUACUAUGCGACACGUGUUGAGGAUUGCGGCUUUUUGUAGUAAAAUGUAGAUGGAGUCUUUAAGUUCUAUUAGUUUGAGGCUGUGGUGGAGGUGAUUGGGUAUGACACCCGUGGUGGAGACGACUAUUGGUACUACGUAUACUUUAUCUUGUCUCCAAAUUCUCGUGACCUCUUCUUUAAGUUCUUCAUAUUUGCUUAUUUUUUCUACUAUUGUUUUUUGUAAGUUAUGGGUGUUGGGUACUGCGAUAUCUAUAAGGUGGACUCCCAACAUAGACAAAUUGGUAGCUGAUGACAUAAUACCCGGUGUGAGUGAAACCUGGUGUUGCCAUGUACAAGCAGUACAAAUCGAAGAUGCUCUCCGCAAAUGUGAAUAAUGCCAUGAACUGGAAAACAAAUUAAUUAAAUUAAUGUGAAAGUUUAA